rnacentral:rRNA from 1 species
UGGGGAAUUUUGGACAAUGGGCGCAAGCCUGAUCCAGCCAUGCCGCGUGCGGGAAGAAGGCCUUCGGGUUGUAAACCGCUUUUGUCAGGGAAGAAAUCUUCUGAGUUAAUACCUCGGGAGGAUGACGGUACCUGAAGAAUAAGCACCGGCUAACUACGUGCCAGCAGCCGCGGUAAUACGUAGGGUGCAAGCGUUAAUCGGAAUUNCUGGGCGUAAAGCGUGCGCAAGGCGGUUUUGUAAGACAGAGGUGAAAUCCCCGGGCUCAACCUGGGAACUGCCUUUGUGACUGCAAGGCUUGAGUGCGGCAGAGGGGGGAUGGAAUUCCGCGUGUAGCAGUGAAAUGCGUAGAUAUGCGGAGGAACACCGAUGGCGAAGGCAACCCCGUGGGCCUGCACUGACGCUCAUGCACGAAAGCGUGGGGAGCAAAACAGGAUUAGAUACCCUGGUAGUCCACGCCCUAAAACGAUGUCAACUGG